UACGUAGGGGGCAAGCGUUGUCCGGAUUUAUUGGGCGUAAAGAGCGUGUAGGCGGCCACACAGGUCAGCUGUGAAAACUCGAGGCUCAACUUCGAGCUGUCGGUGGAAACUUUCUGGCUAGAGUCCGGAAGAGGAGAAUGGAAUUCCUGGUGUAGCGGUGAAAUGCGCAGAUAUCAGGAAGAACACCCGUGGCGAAGGCGGUUCUCUGGGACGGUACUGACGCUGAGACGCGAAAGCGUGGGGAGCGAACAGG
rnacentral:rRNA from 1 species